GAAUGAAUGAAAUGAAAAGCAGGCAGGGAAGGGAAUGAAUGAACUAAGGGAAGAAGGCAGGGAAGGGAAUGAAUGAACUAAGGGAAGCAGGCAGGGAAAGGAAUGAACGAAAUGAAACGGAAGGGAAUGAAUGAACUAAGGGAAGCAGGCAGGGGAAUGAAUGAAUUGAAGCAGAGUGAGUAAAUGCUCUGAAAUGCAGUGAAGGAAGUGUUGGGGAGGGAAAAGAGCAAGAGAUGAGAAUAAGAAAAACAAUUCGGGGCUGGAGAGAUGGCUCAGAGGUUAAGAGCACUGGCUGUUCUUCCAGAGGUCCUGAGUUCAAAUCCCAGCAACCACACGGUGGCUCACAACCAUCUGUAAUGAUAUCUGGUGCCCUCUUCUGGCAUGCAGGGAUACAUGCAGGCAGAAUACUAUAAACAUAAUAAAUAAACAACAUAAUAAAUAAAUAUCUAAAAAAAAGAAAAGAAAAGCAUUAGGUUUCCCAAUGGAAAAGCUGAGCAAAAUUCAGAUCAGUCUGAGAAAAGGAAUAAGAAAAUGAAAACUUUCCCAGGUUUCAGCACUAAAAAAAAAGAAAAGAAAAACUUGCAUUUUUUUUUGUUUGUUUUUAAAUAAGAUAGUCAAAAUGUAGCCGAGCAAGGGAAGGGAGCUAAGAAAAAAGUACUUCCAAUAAGAAAACAUACAAGCAAAAUUAGACAAAAACCCAAAGAACAACAACAACAAAAAUGUAAAAGUAAAAAAGGUUGAAAGUAAUAAAAGGGACUGGGGAGAUGUCAGCAGGAGAGGGUGCUCACCGCCAACCCUCACGCCCUGAGUUCAAUCCCAUGGAAGAAGGGAACCGACUCCGGUAAGUUGUCUUCUGCCUCACGACGCUAUGGUGCAUGCGCACAAAUGUCCUGAAAGCUUGGCCUCGGCGGUCUCAGAUCAGGACAAGAUGGUGCCGGCUGUUGCCUUUAGUCCAUAGCUGCUCAUAUGCCAGAGAAAUUAGGCUGGUCUACCAUGUUCUGCAACUUGUUUGUGCUCUGGGCGCUGUGGGCUUGUCCUGCAGCGAGGACGGCACAUCUCUCCUCGCUCACUGCGAUAGCAGCUACUUCCCCUCCCCAGUCAGAGAGCCGUGCAGCUUAACCUGUUGGCCUUUCCCACCCCAGCAGACAUGUUUUCGUCCUUGUUUGUUUUGCCGUUCCGUGGAUGAAGUGUUGUGUGUGGGUAUGCUCAUUCCAUCAGAGGACAACUUGUCGGGAGUUGGUUCUUUCCGUCCACGGCGUGGGCAGGUAUGCGGGAAAUACCUCUGAGCCAUCCCCUGGUUUGGCGUGGGCAUUGCUCCUCUUUCUGUCUGCACUGUACACAACUAUUCUUUCACUUCCGUCGUGGACUCCAAAGCUCUCCCCCUCUGUCUUUAGAACACAGUCUAGUUUUCCUUAUUCUGAUCCUCCUCUCACAAGCUCACACAGGCAGCUUCUAGCCCUCACGCUUGGAAGUUUUCUGGGUGGCGGAACCGUGGUAGCCGCAGGUUUUCUAGGCAGUUGAGCAAACACACUGAAAGCGAUAGGUGAGCAAGCGGGGAUUCUUCAUACGGACCUCAGGUUGGUUCCUCUUGUGUGGCCCAGGAGGCUUUAGCCCCAGUCCUCCUGCCUCGGCCUCCUAAGAGCUGGGAUUAUGACAUGUACCGCCUCGCUCAGCCAAACAAGUUUAGUAUUACGUUCUAAGUGGGUACCGCGAGAUGAGCACGGCCUGCCCUGUGUUUGUUUCUGUUCUGUGGCGCGGGGGAUCAAAGCAUGCUACCACUGAGCUGCACUCCCAACCCAGCCCCAGAGCCCAUUUCAAAUCCUGCUAAAGGUGAUAUUAAAGAGGGCAAAAGUCAACCAGAAAGUUCAGUUCCUGGGCUGGCAAGAUGGCUCAGUGGGUAAAGGCAUCCGCCGCCGCUGCCACCACCGCCGCCAAGCCUGACACUUGGUGGAGAGGAAGAGUGGUCCUGGCGAGCUGUCCUCUGACCUCUGCGUGUGUGUCCAGCUUCUGCUCCCGCAAGCAUGCACAAUGCACACUAAGUAAAUACUUGAUAAUAAAGUUUUUUACAGUCCCAGUGCUGUGGAGACGGAGACUUCAUUAAACUGUGCUGUGGAAGCCAGCCCCCGGGAGCUGCUUUUCAGCUCCAGUGCUCCUUUCUAAGUUUGUGCCCUCCUGGUAAUAUUUUCAGUAGCCGACUGCUUUAGCACUGUGAACCUGCUUGAGUUUGAAAUUCCUUCAGCCGGCUCUAGUCAAGGAAAUGCUGGGCAGUAGAGGGAGUUGUAGCUGGGGGACUGCUGAUAACAGACGAGCUCUUUGAGAGCAGAGCUCUCGCCCUCCCCGCCGUUUUCUUGGCACCGGAAUAGCUGGGAAGGGGAUAAAAGCUGCAGCAGCAUAAUCCCUAAGAAACCUGCUGGCUGCCUGUUCCGUUUCCCUGUGUGGCCUUUCCGACCUGGUUGCCUUGUGUAAGCAAAGCUGCGCCUGCUGUGGCUUAUUCUGAAUGGAUCAAGACGUGGAAGGUUCUAUUUUUGACAGAGCCAACGAUGAUCUAGUGAGGAAUAGGUGCUCUUACAAUUGAGCUCUGUAUUUAGAAAUCCUUGCCUGCUCCCCGCCCGGGGGAGCCUGUGGUGUUUGCCUUUCAACUCGGACUUUUCCGCAGUCUGUAGCUCCUUUCUUCUAGCUGGAAUCUGUGUUGCGGAGGGCGUUGCUCCAGCUUCAUUAAGGUUACUGAACUACUGGGGAGCAGCUCAUGUUGGCAGCCCUUGGGUGGUAGGCAGGAUGGCUCAGCAGGUUGAACACAAACCUGACAACCUGUGAAGGCGGCAUGUGGUGAUGUCCAUACCUCAGCAUUCCUAGGACAAGAUGGGAGAUGGGAGCAGGAGAAUCCUCUGGAAGCUCGACGACCAGAGUGGCAACCAAGAGAGAUGCUGCCUCAAGCACAUUGAAAGAGAAGGACCAAGAUCUGAAGAUGCCCUCUGACCUCUACAUGCACACCGUGGUCUGUGCACACCCUCACAGACGACCAAAAUAAAAAU